rnacentral:rRNA from 1 species
GUCUACGGCCAUGCCACCCUGAACAAGCAUGAUCCCGUCUGAUCUGGGAAACUAAGCAGGUCUGGUCAGUACUUGGAUGGGAGACCACCUAAGAAGACCAGGUGCUACAGGGA